GUUUUUGUCCACUGACAUAUUUUCUGUUUUGCGCCCCCCAGCCAGUAGUCGCUCCAGGAAGCGUGCAAGGGGUGUACGAGGCCCGAACUGUGAACCUUUCUAGUUAGGAACUGAGUUGAUUAUUUUUGUUGGGAUUGCCUAAAUUACAAGGGAGACUGUCAAAAUUUUGGCAGAAAGUCUCGAGUUUUUGGUAAGUGGGCCCGGCAUCGGGAAGAUGUCGGAAUAAAGACGGGGUCCGCUUCGGUUUCCUGUCAACAUCAGCUGUACCGGUGCAGCCAGUAAUCCAAAGGCCAGUAUUGCAUUUUAAAAAUGAAGGGCUAAGAUUGAAUGACCGGAAGACUUGUUGUGCCUUUUGUUACUAAAUAUCACGUGACAUACACGUGACUGAGAAAACAAGUAAAAAGCUUCAACAAAAGUGCGGAAGUCCUCACGUGCACUGGAGCUGCUUAUCUCUGCGAUCGAUCUCUCUCUUGGAAAUCCAAUCCUCAUCUGUGUCCCCAAAUCAGAAUCUGGGAGUCUCACCUCUGCCGACGCCGAGAUGCAACAGUCAUCGGACAUCGCCGAUUCCGGAAUCACCAUCCACGCAAGGUUUGCCUGCUUAGUUGUCUUCUUUUUCCAUCGGUUCAAUUCAGAAGAUUACUCGGUUUUUGUCUUUGAAGAAUCUUUAUCAAGAAGCUUGGAAGCAAUUGGGUUUUGGGGUUGAUACAUCUGGCAGAUCACCACAUGCUCUCCAUUUGUUUGCUGAAAUGUCACACUCAUGUUGGGUAUGCAAUGGCGGUACUGCACUUCUUGAUUUUGAUCUUGGCUACCAUAUGGGCAUUCGAGACGAUGGUGGUGGUGAGUUUCUCACGAGUUGCUUCAUUGGAGGGUUGAUGGCAGAGAGCUUCGCCAGGACUUGUACUUGCUUCGUUUUGUUCCUGUUCAAGAAGCCUCUACGCCAAAUCUAAAAUUGCUCAAGGUUAUACAGGGCUUUAUCAAGAAUUGUUCAGUUGUCAUUUUCCUUGAUUCUGGUAGUUCACGAAAUUUCAUUGGUUUGGCACUAUUCAAAUGGUUAGGGUCCAGGAUUAUGAUUGUGUCCACACUGUUUUUACUCUUCCGUUGGGUAAUUGCAUUCUUGAUUUUGAUGUUGGCUACCUUCUGGGCAUACGUGGCCAAGGUGGUGGAUUUGAAGUUGAUAAUGGGCAUACUGGAAAAGAAGAAAAUUUCUGCAAGGUUUAUGGCUAUGAGCUUGAGUCAUUGAGAGCUUUACUUCUUUCUCCCAGGGCUCAUUCCAAAGGACUUGGAGCCAUUGAUGUGUUAGUGAGCUUUCCAAUAAUUGGGGAGUUUUAUGUGGGUGGGCUGCCAAUCCAGCAGCAGUGAGACCAUGAGCAUUGUUUGGUUCAGCAUCUCUGUAAUUGCAUGCUCUGAUGGUGGCCUUGUUCAAGCCAACCAAUUAAUAUAUUGCUACAACAAUAUGAGUUCAAUGGCACACAUCCAUCACUGAAAUGGCAGCAACUUGUUGGUUCGAAUUCCAGAAUUUCAUCCUUGAGGACAAGGAUUGUUUUUGUGGGGAGGGUAGAUAGGAAUCUCUAUAUAAGCUGGAACUAGCUUAGUUGUUAACCAUUAGUUAGGCUAUGCUUAGUUGACAGUUGGUUAGGUUAACUCUAUAUUAACUAAGUGAGUCUGUAUUUGAGGGAGUUAGUUGAGAAAUUGUAUCUUUUUCUUUGUGAAAGAAAUAAUAUCAUUGCUCUUGAGAUAUUGAGUUAAAGUAGAAGGCAGGUACUAUCAAUUUAUACAAGAACCGCUAAAACUCUAAACCUAAGAUCGAAGUGGAGGAUAACGCAGAGGCCAAUGCACAAUGAUGGCUUCCUGCACACACUAGGCUUCACUUUCUCACCUGCUUCCCGUAGGGUGCAACUUGAGAGUGGAAAAUUCAAUGUUUUCCAACUCCUCCUUUAGGCCACAGGUAACUUCCGGAAUGCAAAAAAUGGCAGCAGUUGGCGAAUGUAGUGCCGAAGGAAAUUGGUACGAAGGGGAAAACUCCAAUUGACUGCUUGCGUAAUCUUUCUUGUUAAUAGUGUGAAUUAUAUGACAAAACAAAGAAAUUUAAUUUGGGAACCCAAUUUUAGAGUUUUCACAUGUCUAAAUUGAAAUGUUUUUGUAAGUGAAAGCUCAUCAUGA